UCCCCAGUGGCGCAAUUGGUUAGCGCACGGUACUUAUAAUGCCGGGUCGUGAGUUCGAGCCUCACCUGGGGAA
rnacentral:tRNA from 1 species